rnacentral:misc_RNA from 1 species
UCUCCGUUGGUGAACCAGCGGAGGGAUCAUUACCGAGUUUACAACUCCCAAACCCAAUGUGAACGUUACCAAACUGUUGCCUCGGCGGGGUCACGCCCCGGGUGCGCCGCAGCCCCGGAACCAGGCGCCCGCCGGAGGAACCAACCAAACUCUUUCUGUAGUCCCCUCGCGGACGUUAUUUCUUACAGCUCUGAGCAAAAAUUCAAAAUGAAUCAAAACUUUCAACAACGGAUCUCUUGGUUCUG